AUUGAACGCUGGCGGCAGGCCUAACACAUGCAAGUCGAACGAGUGGCGGACGGGUGAAUAAUGUCUGGGAAACUGCCUGAUGGAGGGGGAUAACUUCUGGAAACUGUAGCUAAUACCGCAUACUAUGGUGUGUGCCCAUAUGGGAUUAGCUAGUGGGUGGGGUAAAGGCUCACCUAGGCGACGAUCCCUAGCUGGUCUGAGAGGAUGAACAGCCACACUGGAACUGAGACACGGCCCAGACUCCUACGGGAGGCAGCAGUGGGGAAUAUUGCACAAUGGGCGCAAGCCUGAUGCAGCCAUGCCGCGUGUAUGAAGAAGGCCCUCGGGUUGUAAAGUACUUUCAGCGGGGAGGCGUUACCCACAGAAGAAGCACCGGCUAACUCCGUGCCAGCAGCCGCGGUAAUAC
rnacentral:rRNA from 1 species